rnacentral:lncRNA from 1 species
CAGGUACUGAUACAGCCUGUGUUGUGUCAGCCUGAUGACAUCUAAGUAGGUAAUGCACUCAUGUCUUGUCAAUCCAUAGACAGCCUGCUGUUACUGAGCUCCAAAAUUGAUCUAGGUAACUUUAUCAUUAUGUAAAGGAAGAACUUGAUAGGCUGAAUGAAGUGCUGUGAACUCCCUGUCUCCAUCCAUCACCUUGUCCUCAGGACCUUGCUGUCUUGCUUUCUUGGAACUGGCUCCUGUUCAGAAAGAGAUUAAGCAGAAAGUCUUCAGACGCAAGAUAAAAAGCAGAACUAUGGGCCGUGCUUGGCUUUGUUCAGCAACCUCUACCUCCCUUCUUUGAGAAGCUGGACUCUGCAGCUGAACAAGGCGUGAGAGUCUUCGGUAUGAUCACAGCCCUUGGAGGAAAAAAUGAUUCUUUUAAAAGCACAAAUACUAGAUCAAGGACUUGAUAUAUCCAAGGGAUCUUUUUCUGCCCUGAGCAAGGGUGAAAACUCCAAAGCUCCAAAGCAAUGGAAAUCUCCAGAGAUGUCCACGCCAAAUAGGUUCUUGCCUGUCCUUAUUCAAAAGGCUAUUUAUCCUUCUCAAGGCUUGUGAAGUGAUUUUCAUGAAAUGAAAACCGCUGUUUGCAAAACAAGAAGUCAAGGAGUUUUACUCUGGGAGGCAUCAAAAACAAGAACUGCAAAGUUUUUCAAAAUAAAAUGUUUCAUAUAAGAAAAAAUUGAAAUAAU